rnacentral:miRNA from 1 species
AUAUAUAUGAUCACCUGGGGAAUCUUGUUAAAAUGCAGAUUCUGACUCGGACACUUUCUGUUUCCAACAAGCUCCUGGGGCAUGCUA